UCUGUGUUAAAUGUUAAAUAAGAAGAAUCAUUUUCCUGACAGUGAGAUCAUCUAGAAACACUGAUGUCUGUAAUCAUGAUGCAGUAGAUCACAUUUUUUAUUGUAAUAUGAUUUGAUCUGAGAUCUUUUCUGUUGCAGCUGUUCCUCAUACUGAUCACAUUCACUCUGAAGUCUCAUGGCUUUUAGUAGUGCUGGUUUUCACUGGUAUUGGUUUAUUUCUGUCUGGACUCAUGGGAUUCAUCUGUCUGUGCCCCUUUGACAGUUCUGAUGACGCUCUCACAGAGGUGAUCUACAGCUCCUGCCAUGUGGAAACAACAUCUCUGUUAUGCUCCUCAAAACAUGGAUGAACCGUUUCAUUUCUUUACUUGUUGCACCUCUAAAGAGAAAAAUGAUUUGUGCAGAGAAUGAUAGCAGCCUUUAUGUGCACUAUGUAGCUACUUAAUUCAUACUGAUCAGCAAGCCAGGGCAGAAUCUGUGGAGCUUUUUCACACAUUUUGAUUUUAAGAAAAAAUGAUUUUAUUGCUAAAAUGUACAGUAUGUUAAAUGUUGCUGAAGGCAUCUUCAAGUCAUCUAGACUUCAGUGAUGCAGAUCCAGUGUCAUUCAAGAUUUGAAGCAUCAAAAACAGAAAAGUUGUAACACUUUUUUAAUCAACUAUUGAUUAUAACAUGCUACGGUUGAAAUGCAACUUUACUGUUAGCAGUCAAUUUAGCAAAAUUGGCAUAUAGUGCUCUACUUGUCAGGUUUGUAUAGUCACUGUAACAAAAUAUUGUAAUUUUACCUUUAAAAGACUAUAAAAAUUUAAUUAUUUCAUUAUUUAGUUCCACGAUUGCCCAAAUCAACCGCAUGACAACGAUCACAUUUGUUUCGUGUUUAUUCGAAUACCCUUGGUCACUAAUGCUCACAAAUAAUAAAACAUUUUUUUUACAGUAAA